AGGGAAGUAGAGCGCGGAAGAAGAGGAAAGAGAGAGAGGGGGAGAGAGAGAGAGAGAGACUGUCAGGCGAGAGCAACGGAGGGAAAAAAAGACCGUAGAAGCCGACACACAGGAGAACAAGAGACACGGACGGAGGAGAGGAAACUCGUAGACAGGAAGAGUUUGUGCCAUAUAGGCAGGUCCAGUGAUGUACAACCCAGCAGCUAUCGGUCACAAGAAGGCCUUGGCAAUGUCAUUCUGUGAGCGUGGAUGCCUGAGAGCGUGUUUCCAUCAACUCAACCCCUGACACCAUCAAGAUCCUUCUCUGUAUCGACAAAGCAGACAGAAAGUCAAGCUCCAAGGAACUCCGCGAGGUCAUUCACUGCCUGGAUUUGACCACAGACUCAGGCUCUCGUCUUCGUCCUGUGCGUUCUCCAUCUGUGAGUCAUUCUUAAGAGCGUUCAGUCAUCUCCAGCACGGCCCAAAGCGCUGUCUGCAGAUGAGAGAGGAGAGAGAGAGAGAUGAGAGGAAGCAAUGAGACGGAAGAAAGAACGGCAGAAUGAAAAUUUGAAGACUUGAGCUGUUCUCUUGCUCAAAUUUGAUUGGCUGAUUGGUAAGUCUGUUUAUUAGUCACUUAUGAGCCUUUCUGAAGGUUAUAUCAUGCUGGUGUGUGACCAGUGAGUGAUUGAAUGAUUUGUUCAUUCAACCAUUCAGAAGCACUGAUUCAUUCAGAACUGAACAAGUGAGCCUUUAUG